rnacentral:sRNA from 1 species
AUUGACAGCUCAAGUACCAGCGGUAACGCCAGAUUUCCGCAUAAUGGUAGGACCACAGACUCCCGCACAUUUUUUCACAGGACCACAGUAUCCCGCACGUUUAUUCACAGAAGAGACAACACCAUUCAGAUCUAUAGAUAGUAAAAAAC